GCAUGCGGACAGCCGCUGCUGCUGCACCGACGGGAGUUUGCUCGAGCUGCAGGCGAGGCGCUGCAAAGCGUUUGGGAUUGGAGCGGGCUUUUCUCCGCUAUCCCCCACAGAGCGGGAAGCGGUGCUACCCCGCACGUGAGACGGGAGGGCUUUGCUGCCAGGAGAGACACGCAGCUCAGCCUCUGGGAGCGCCUCUCCAGAAAACGGCAGGAUAAGAUUUAUUUUAUUUUAUUUAUUUUUCCCUCCGUGUAAUAGCAGGGCUGGGGAAGGCCGGAUGUGGUGGUGAUUUACGGGAGACGAGAAACGUCUGGGUGCCUCCCUGCCCGGUGAGCGGUGUGCAAGCAACAGUGAGCAAAGCAGGACACAGAUUUCUUGGGAGACCAAGCUGUACAAGUUGUAAAGAAUUUUAUGGGUGAAAAAUGGGGCAAGUGGAAGUGUAGAAGAUUUUGCUCAGGAGAACAGCCUGGUUAACUGAACUCGGAAUGCUCAAAGUGCCUAAUUAAUGGCAAAAUAACUGUCUACACAAGUGAGACCGGAGUCAGUAGUAACCAGUGAAAAGAUAAACUCCAAGUCUAAAGUUUGGGAUGGACAUCUAACUGUGCCCAGGAUAGACACUGUUCAUACUCUGAAGACUGCCCAAGCUUCUGGAGCUCAUUUCUAAGAUUUUUGAAGCCAAAAGUCAGGUAGCUGAAUGAAAAACAUGAAGCUUACUCCAAUGUUCUGCAGAAAGCCAUGGUAGAGAGCAGGAACAUUUUGUUUCUUUUGUAGUUUUUGAAUGACUGAAUAAUGCUUACUAUAAAUAAUUCAUUUGCAAGAGAAGGAAACUAAAAGAUCAUAGCUAAGGCCAAUUUGUUGUUUUCUAAGAGGGUGCUUCCAGUUGCAUCAAGCAGCACUGAUUAUGUUGUUUUUUUUAAUUGUAAUAAUUUUAUCAGAAUUAAUUUCAGCUGUAAUUCCAUGUCUUGCUAGUGUAUGGUCAUACAGAGCAUUUCUCAUGGAUGGAAUUAGAGCCAUUCUAGCAAAUCACUCCUGGCUCCUGUGAACUUAUUAGAGUGGGCCGCAGUGUAUCUUGAUUAACAGUGUCAAAAGGUUCAGAGAGAUGUGAAAGGGUGAGAGCAGUGUCUGCUUAUCAUCUGUUGAGAUUAGGAGACCAUCUGUUAGUGCUGCUAUAGUGGUGUCUGCCUGGAGCCUGGUCUGAAGCCAGGCUGUAGUAGGUACGAUAUGGUGGAUUCAACUGCAGGCUCUUGGCUCACUUUUAUCUAAUUUUUAUGAUCCUUAAUCAAAAUGAUACUCAGUAAGAGUACGUGGAUCACAGCCAAACUGUUGUUCCUUUUAUAAAGAAAAACUACCCACUUAAUGGAAAUGCAUGUUUGGAAGGAAAAAAAAGAAUAUUUUAUCUCCCAAACAGACAUUACCUGUUCUAACUAGCUAUUUGUAAGAGAACAAGGCAGGCAGCAUGUUCCUUGGAAUACACCCUGAGCUCCUGGAGCUGUGGCUUUGGACCUGUUUGAGCCAAAGGUUGGCAUCUUUGAAUCUUUUUUUCUGUGGAUUUUUCUUCUGUAAAAUCCAAGUAAUUUCUUGAAGGGUAAGAAGGUGAGGCAAUGAGAAGGUGAAAAUUUAUAAAAUGGUUUCAUAAUUAUCAGUUCCCUUCAAUAUCACAUCUUCAGACAAAUUCUUGUGUAAAAAAUGAAGUUGUACAUAUAGGAAAAGAAGAAUAUUUAAGAAACCAGUUCUUGUGAUCAUACUGAACACCUGUUUAUUUUGCUGAUUCUAUUGAGAACUUCUCCAUGGCAGUACAAUACAUGCUAUGAUAGACCUCUGUAAUGUUUGAUAUUAGAGAAUUUACAGUGCAAGAUGAACUUUUACAUUUCUUGAGAUUCACUUGCUCAUUUUUGAGCUGUAGUUACUGACCACAUUUGCAGCUUAAACAGCUGGAUUUGGCCAGUCCUUCUGUUUCACCUUCUUUGUUUCCAGUGGAAAACAAAGGAAGAAUUUGAAGUAAACAUGAAGUAGCGCAGGAUGACCAAUUUUAACUUUCUUCUAGAGUGCAAGUUGUGAGCAUAUAAUUUUUUUAUCAUAAUACCACUUUUAUUUUCCUUUCCUA